rnacentral:rRNA from 1 species
CACCGCGGUUAUACGAGAGACUCUAGUUGAUAGACUGCGGCGUAAAGCGUGGUUAAGAUUUAUUCGCACUAAAGCCGAAUCCCCUCAAAGCUGUUAUACGCCCUCGAAGGAAAGAAGCUCAUUAACGAAAGUGGCUUUAUUACCCCUGAACCCACGAAAGCUAAGAAA